UACGUAGGUGACAAGCGUUGUCCGGAUUUACUGGGCGUAAAGAGCGCGCAGGCGGUCGAUCAAGUCGAGUGUGAAAGCCCCCGGCUCAACUGGGGAGGGUCAUUCGAUACUGAUCGACUCGAAGGCAGGAGAGGGUAGUGGAAUUCCCGGUGUAGUGGUGAAAUGCGUAGAUAUCGGGAGGAACACCAGUGGCGAAGGCGGCUUCCUGGCCUGUUCUUGACGCUGAGGCGCGAAAGCUAGGGGAGCAAACGGG
rnacentral:rRNA from 1 species